UGCCAGACUCCUACGGGAGGCAGCAGUGAGGAAUAUUGGUCAAUGGCCGGAAGGCUGAACCAGCCAAGCCGCGUGAGGGAGGAAGGCGCAGAGCGUCGCAGACCUCUUUUGCCGGGGGACAAAAGGCCGGACUCGUCCGGUCCUGAGGGUGCCCGGAGAAAAAGCAUCGGCUAACUCCGUGCCAGCAGCCGCGGUAAUACGGAGGAUGCGAGCGUUAUCCGGAUUCAUUGGGUUUAAGGGGUGCGCAGGCGGGCCUUUAAGCCGGGGGUGAAAUCGCGGGGCUCACCCCCGUCGAGCCGUUGAAACUGGCAGACUUGAGUUGGCGAGAAGUACGCGGAAUGCGCGGUGUAGCGGUGAAAUGCAUAGAUAUCGCGCAGAACUCCGAUUGCGAAGGCAGCGUACCGGCGCCAGACUGACGCUGAGGCACGAAAGCGUGGGGAUCGAACAGGAUUAGAUACCCUGGUA
rnacentral:rRNA from 1 species